UGAGGCGUAGCUCAAUGGUAGAACACUUGGCUGGUAUACAAGUAGCCCUAGGUUUGAUUCCUAGUACCAGAG
rnacentral:tRNA from 1 species